GAGUGAUCUGACAGUGACAUGUCUGGCCAAUUAUCUCCCUGGUGGAUUCAGCUGAUCUAGCUGACUAGGUAUCCUCCCUUAGCUCCAGGUGUUUCCAUUCCACAUUGAUCCACUUGGUCAAAAAAGACAACCUUCCCCUGUAGAAGAGGACUGGAUUGGUCUUCACUCAAGGUUGUAUGAGUAGCUAAACUUCUCUGCUAGAGCCUCCAAACAAGCUCUCAAGAACACAGUCAUGUCAUAGGAAGGAAAAUGGAUGGCAGUAGAUAUCUGAUCAGUGAAAUUAACUAGACUCAGCAAUUGUUUUCAC
rnacentral:snRNA from 1 species